AUUGAACGCUGGCGGCAGGCCUAACACAUGCAAGUCGGGCGGAGCGGCGGACGGGUGAGUAAUGUAUGGGGAUCUGCCUGAUGGAGGGGGAUAACUACUGGAAACGGUAGCUAAUACCGCAUACCAUCAGAUGAACCCAUAUGGGAUUAGCUAGUUGGUGGGGUAAAGGCCUACCAAGGCGACGAUCCGUAACUGGUCUGAGAGGAUGAUCGUCCAAACUGGAAGUGGGAAACGGCCAGGACUCCUCCGGGAGGCGGAAUAGGGAAUGAUUGGACAUGGGGGGAAGGCCUAACCCGGACAGGCGGCGGGUGUGAGGAGGGUCUCCGGAUUUAAAACCACUUUGAGUUGGGAGGGGUUACCAACAGGAUAACCACCGCCUAACUUCGGGCCAGCCGCCGCGGUAAUUC
rnacentral:rRNA from 1 species